CCUACGGGCGGCAGCAGUGGGGGAUAUUGCACAAUGGGGGGAACCCUGAUGCAGCGACGCCGCGUGUGGGAAGACGGUCCUCUGGAUUGUAAACCACUGUCCCCAGGGACGAAAAUGACGGUACCUGGGGAGGAAGCUCCGGCUAACUACGUGCCAGCAGCCGCGGUAAUACGUAGGGAGCGAGCGUUGUUCGGAAGUACUGGGAGUAAAGGGAGCGUAGGCGGGGAUGCAAGUUGGGUGUCAAAACUACCGGCUCAACUGGUAGUCGCACUCAAAACUGCAGCUCUUGAGUGAAGUAGAGGCAGGCGGAAUGCCUAGUGUAGCGGUGAAAUGCGUAGAUAUUAGGAGGAACACCAGUGGCGAAGGCGGCCUGCUGGGCUUUUACUGACGCUGAGGCUCGAAAGUGUGGGGAGCAAACAGGAUUAGAUACCCGGGUAGUC
rnacentral:rRNA from 1 species